GAUGAACGCUAGCGACGGGCUUAACACAUGCAAGUCGAGGGGCAGCAUAGAAGUAGCAAUACUUUGGUGGCGACCGGCGCACGGGUGAGUAACGCGUAUGCAACCUACCUAUCAGAGGGGAAUAACCCGGCGAAAGUCGGACUAAUACCGCAUAAAACAGGGGCACCGCAUGGUGAUAUUUGUUAAAGAAAUUCGCUGAUAGAUGGGCAUGCGUUCCAUUAGGUAGUUGGUGAGGUAACGGCUCACCAAGCCGACGAUGGAUAGGGGAACUGAGAGGUUGGUCCCCCCCACUGGUACUGAGAAACGGACCAGAUGCCUACGUGAGGAAGCAGUGAGGAAUAUUGGUCAAUGGGCGAGAGCCUGACCCAGCCAGGUCGCGUGAAGGAAGUAGAAUCUAUGGUUCGUAAACUUCUUUUGCAGGGGAAUAAAGUGCGGGACGUGUCCUGUUUUGUAUGUACCCUGAGAAUAAGGAUCGGCUAACUCCGUGCCAGCCGCCGCGGUAAAAC
rnacentral:rRNA from 1 species